rnacentral:rRNA from 1 species
AUUGAACGCUGGCGGCAGGCCUAACACAUGCAAGUCGAGCGGAUGAAGGGAGCUUGCUCCUGGAUUCAGCGGCGGACGGGUGAGUAAUGCCUAGGAAUCUGCCUGGUAGUGGGGGAUAACGUCCGGAAACGGGCGCUAAUACCGCAUACGUCCUGAUGGAGAACGUGGGGGAUCUUCGGACCUCACGCCAUCAGAUGAGCCUAGGUCGGAUUAGCUAGUUGGUGGGGUAAAGGCCUACCAAGGCGACGAUCCGUAACUGGUCUGAGAGGAUGAUCAGUCACACUGGAACUGAGACACGGUCCAGACUCCUACGGGAGGCAGCAGUGGGGAAUAUUGGACAAUGGGCGAAAGCCUGAUCCAGCCAUGCCGCGUGUGUGAAGAAGGUCUUCGGAUUGUAAAGCACUUUAAGUUGGGAGGAAGGGCAGUAAGUUAAUACCUUGCUGUUUUGACGUUACCAACAGAAUAAGCACCGGCUAACUUCGUG